rnacentral:lncRNA from 1 species
GACUGCUGGGCAUGCAUGAAGUUAAGGGCAAGAAACAGUAUGCCAUGUGUUCUGUACCAUCAUGUGUCUCUUCUUGCUUCUGGGCCCUUCUACUGGUGAACUUUAAUCAAGAUCUGCGCCAUGCCGUGUCACUGUCAAGCCAUUAAGUUUUGUCUGGGUUGCUGUCAGCCCCAGUUGGCUUCGUGGUCAACAAGGACCUCAAGAACUGCCUGUGGACCGAGGCCCCCUACCAGUGCAUGAGACACACACCUACCCUCCCCAGCUUUCCAGGAACCCUACUGGCUGCCAGACUGAUGGGCGGGCUGGUAUGUGUGGACAUGUGUUCACUCUCUUUAUGCUGUGGUUCCAGGUGUGGCUUUGUACAUGCAGAAGAAUGCUAUAUGCUGCACAUUUUGCUUUUAAAGUCUUACCACUUUCCCCAUUUUAGUCUAAUGGGAAGAUAGAGCUGUGCAAGUCUGCUUUUUUGUUUUUUGUUAUUUUUUUUUUGCUCUUUAUUAUGGACAUUUUCAGACAUGCACAGAAGUGGAGAGGAUGGUCCUUGGACCCCAUGUGUCCAUCACCUAGCUGCAUCACUUAUCAGUUAUGGUCAACCUGGUUUCAUCUGUAUCUCCCUCUUUUCACCUGUAUUGUUUCUUGAAAAUCCAAGAUACUAUGCCAAUGCAACUGUGACUACUUCGGGAGAUUGGUAGUCUCUUUUGAUGGUGAUAGUGAUGGGGUGCACUAUCAUAAUCACAUCAGGUCUGCUUUUUGCUUUUAAUGUUAACUAAUGAAGUUCCAGAGAUGGGCCUUAGAAAUGUGUUUUAAGAAUUAACAAGGAGUCUCAAAAAGAAAUGAGAGGGAUGCUUCCUUUUCCUUGCAUCCACAAAACAAGAGAGAGACUGUUCUGUUGUAAAACUCUUUCAAAAAUUCUGAUAUGAUAAGGUACUUGAGACCCUUCACCAGAAUGUCAGUCUUUUUUUUUCUGUGUAACAUGGAAACUUGUGUGACCAUUAGCAUUGUUACCAGCUUGUACUGGUCUCAUAACUCUGGUUUUGGAAGAAUAAUUUGGAAAUUGUUGCUGUGUUCUGUGAAAAUAACCUCCCCAAAAUAAUUAGUAACUGGUUGUUGUACUUGGUAAUUUGACACCCUGUUAAUAACGCAAUUAUUUCUGUGUUCUUAAACGUAUAAAUAGUUGUAAGUUUGCAUGCACGAUGGAAAAAUAAAAACCUGUAUCUCUGUUAUAUUUCUGAUUUUCAAAAAAGAUUUAGAAGGUUUUAAACAGAGGCUGGGCAGUUGAGAGAAUAUAUACAUUGCCCUAGAUAAGUGAUUCCCAAGCCGC